CCGGUGACCGCCACCGAGGACGUCAGGGCUAGACGGGCAGUCCCGUCUGGAUUUUUCCAUUUUAAUUUCAGUCUCGUCUAACUCAUUUUGUUUAAUAAACGGUUGUGGGUUUCUGAGGGAAACUUUUCGAGUUAUUAUUUAAAAAUUCCCGAUUCUCCAAGUCCGGCUCCCAGUUAGGGCAACCAUCCCUAACAGUGGCCGAGAUGGGUGUUAUUGAAACAUAUCAGGGUCUCUAGAGAAAUCAGAAUGUGAAUUAGUAGCCUUGAUGUUAUGAAGUAUGAUGUUGAUGAAUUAGUUGAUCUUGACGUUGACUUGAGACAUACAUCCAAUUGGGCUGAUGGUGGAGUAAAUGUAUCAGACAAAGGUCAUGGAAAGUGUCGUUCGAUAAUUGUUCGUUGUAUUAUGACGCUCUGGUAGAUGGUAUAAAUCUGAUCAAUUGGGAGAGCGGAGAAGAUUGUCUAGAUUGAAGUCGAUUUAUGCUAAUCCUGAAUUUAGCCAUGACGAACGCUCCGGAAGGUCAUAUAUUUCUAAUUCAUAAAAUCAAGUGUCAGUCCUGCAAAUGAAUAAUGACUCAAAGUGAAUGAUAAAGAAGGUGUCUUAGAUGGAUCGGUGUUUUAUAUAUCGAUUCUCAACGUUAAUUCAUGAAAAGAGGAAGAUCUGAAUGCGUAAUGAUGACUCUCCAAGGACAAUAAGAAAGAUCUAAAUUUUAAAAAAAG